UCGGUCGCGCGCGGGCCCAGCGCCCAGGGUGGUGCCUCUGCUGAGACUCGGGUCGCGCCGCAAGCCUUGCAAGGUCACUGAGCCGCGGGUGAGAGCGCGGCGGCCCUGCCGUUGCAAAGCCUCAGGAAAGGCCCGUGGAAACCAGGCGGCCCUGCGGUAACCAGCGCAGCUCCCGUACGGCUGUCACUGCUCUUUGCAAACCUUGCAUGGAGGAGGAAACCGGGGUCGCCCAGAAAAUGUACACGGACACCAGCCUCUGUCUUAGGCACGUCUGUCGGCACACAAAAUACAAGCAUCUCAAUCUGGAAUAACUAAGGAGACUCAAAGAUAGCUGGAGCCCACGAAAAUCAUGGCAAAUCCUUUGUUGCCCAGGACUGCGGAAUCCUUUUCCAUGGGAAAAAAAAAUUAAAAUACAGACAACAUGACAGCCUUAUGCUCUUCACCUUAUGUAAAAUGCUGACCCCCGUGGCCUUGCUUUCUCUACAUGUAUUCGCUAUUUAACCCUCACAAUACACCCGUGAACUGGGUUCUGUUCCCACUUGUAGGGGCGGAUGCAGCUUUUCACGGGGCCUGAAAUGUGUGCAGUUUGGGUGGUCCUCUUAAGAGAGAAAACCAAACAAAUCAGCACGUCCAACCUGCUCCAGCAGCCCUUAGCACCCGGUGGACAUUCAGCUGGAAAGAGACCUCUGUUCAGCCCAUAGUGGUUAAACUAUCUUACUCUUAACAAAUUGUACAAAAAU